rnacentral:rRNA from 1 species
UACGGAGGUGGCGAGCGUUGUCCGGAGUUACUGGGCGUAAAGCGCGCGUAGGCGGGGGAUUAAGUGAGAAGUGAAAGGCUGGGGCUCAACUCCAUGCAGUGCUUCUCAUACUGGUCUUCUUGAGGGGGGUAGAGAGAAGUGGAAUGGCUGGUGUAGCGGUGAAAUGCGUAGAUAUCAGGAGGAAUACCGAUGGCGAAGGCAGGUCUCUGGGCUGACACUGACGCUCAUGCACGAAAGCGUGGGGAGCAAACAGG